UGUCCAAACACAUUCAAUUCGCCAAGGAACGAAGACGAGAGGGACCUCAAUUUUUUACUUCACUCUCUUUUAAAUAAUAGGAUAAACAAUGUAUUAUUACCGUUUGAGCCAAUAUUUACUUCAAAUGAAGCGUUUGUCCAUGAAAGAUCGCCUGAUCUAAUAUUUGCGAUUGGUAUGAUAGUUACACAUACGCAUAAAAUGAAAGAUAAUACACGAAAAGAUAUUACUGGUGUCAUUAUUGGGUGGCACAACAAAUGCCGCAAAUGGAUUCGAUAUAAAAACA